AAUAGAUACCCAGGUAGUCCACGCCGUAAACGAUGUCGACUUGGAGGUUGUUCCCUUGAGGAGUGGCUUCCGGAGCUAACGCGUUAAGUCGACCGCCUGGGGAGUACGGCCGCAAGGUUAAAACUCAAAUGAAUUGACGGGGGCCCGCACAAGCGGUGGAGCAUGUGGUUUAAUUCGAUGCAACGCGAAGAACCUUACCUACUCUUGACAUCCAGAGAACUUAGCAGAGAUGCUUUGGUGCCUUCGGGAACUCUGAGACAGGUGCUGCAUGGCUGUCGUCAGCUCGUGUUGUGAAAUGUUGGGUUAAGUCCCGCAACGAGCGCAACCCUUAUCCUUUGUUGCCAGCGGUUCGGCCGGGAACUCAAAGGAGACUGCCAGUGAUAAACUGGAGGAAGGUGGGGAUGACGUCAAGUCAUCAUGGCCCUUACGAGUAGGGCUACACACGUGCUACAAUGGCGUAUACAAAGAGAAGCGACCUCGCGAGAGCAAGCGGACCUCAUAAAGUACGUCGUAGUCCGGAUUGGAAUCUGCAACUCG
rnacentral:rRNA from 1 species